AAUCCAUAGGUUAAUGAGGCGAACCGGGGGAACUGAAACAUCUAAGUACCCCGAGGAAAAGAAAUCAACCGAGAUUCCCCCAGUAGCGGCGAGCGAACGGGGAGGAGCCCAGAGCCUGAAUCAGCAUGUGUGUUAGUGGAAGCGUCUGGAAAGGCGCGCGAUACAGGGUGACAGCCCCGUACACAAAAGCGCAUGUGCUGUGAGCUCGAUGAGUAGGGCGGGACACGUGGUAUCCUGUCUGAAUAUGGGGGGACCAUCCUCCAAGGCUAAAUACUCCUGACUGACCGAUAGUGAACCAGUACCGUGAGGGAAAGGCGAAAAGAACCCCGGCGAGGGGAGUGAAAAAGAACCUGAAACCGUGUACGUACAAGCAGUGGGAGCACAGGUUUACCUGUGUGACUGCGUACCUUUUGUAUAAUGGGUCAGCGACUUAUAUUCUGUAGCAAGGUUAACCGUAUAGGGGAGCCGGAGGGAAACCGAGUCUUAAUUGGGCGUUAAGUUGCAGGGUAUAGACCCGAAACCCGGUGAUCUAGCCAUGGGCAGGUUGAAGGUUGGGUAACACUAACUGGAGGACCGAACCGACUAAUGUUGAAAAAUUAGCGGAUGACCUGUGGCUGGGGGUGAAAGGCCAAUCAAACCGGGAGAUAGCUGGUUCUCCCCGAAAGCUAUUUAGGUAGCGCCUCGUGAAUUCAUCUCCGGGGGUAGAGCACUGUUUCGGCUAGGGGGCCAUCCCGGCUUACCAACCCGAUGCAAACUGCGAAUACCGGAGAAUGUUAUCACGGGAGACACACGGCGGGUGCUAACGUCCGUCGUGAAGAGGGAAACAACCCAGACCGCCAGCUAAGGUCCCAAAGUCAUGGUUAAGUGGGAAACGAUGUGGGAAGGCCCAGACAGCCAGGAUGUUGGCUUAGAAGCAGCCAUCAUUUAAAGAAAGCGUAAUAGCUCACUGGUCGAGUCGGCCUGCGCGGAAGAUGUAACGGGGCUAAACCAUGCACCGAAGCUGCGGCAGCGAACGUAUCACCCAAGACAACUUUACGGAGUUGACGAUUGACGGAGCGAAGCGACGUCAAAGCGUUCAUUAAAGUCGAGUUGGCUUAGGGAUACGUUCGUUGGGUAGGGGAGCGUUCUGUAAGCCUGUGAAGGUGUGUCGUGAGGCAUGCUGGAGGUAUCAGAAGUGCGAAUGCUGACAUAAGUAACGAUAAAGCGGGUGAAAAGCCCGCUCGCCGGAAGACCAAGGGUUCCUGUCCAACGUUAAUCGGGGCAGGGUGAGUCGACCCCUAAGGCGAGGCCGAAAGGCGUAGUCGAUGGGAAACGGGUUAAUAUUCCCGUACUUGGUGUUACUGCGAAGGGGGGACGGAGAAGGCUAUGUUGGCCGGGCGACGGUUGUCCCGGUUUAAGCGUGUAGGUGUGUGUUCCAGGUAAAUCCGGUUCACUUUAACACUGAGGCGUGACGACGAGGCACUACGGUGCUGAAGCAACAAAUGCCCUGCUUCCAGGAAAAGCCUCUAAGCAUCAGGUAACACGAAAUCGUACCCCAAACCGACACAGGUGGUCAGGUAGAGAAUACCAAGGCGCUUGAGAGAACUCGGGUGAAGGAACUAGGCAAAAUGGUGCCGUAACUUCGGGAGAAGGCACGCUGACACGUAGGUGAAGUGAUUUACUCAUGGAGCUGAAGUCAGUCGAAGAUACCAGCUGGCUGCAACUGUUUAUUAAAAACACAGCACUGUGCAAACACGAAAGUGGACGUAUACGGUGUGACGCCUGCCCGGUGCCGGAA
rnacentral:rRNA from 1 species